rnacentral:rRNA from 1 species
UACGUAGGUGGCAAGCGUUGUCCGGAUUUACUGGGCGUAAAGAGCGCGCAGGCGGUCGUUCAAGUCGCGUGUGAAAGCCCCCGGCUCAACUGGGGAGGGUCACGCGAUACUGAUCGACUCGAAGGCAGGAGAGGGAAGUGGAAUUCCCGGUGUAGUGGUGAAAUGCGUAGAUAUCGGGAGGAACACCAGUGGCGAAGGCGGGUCUCUGGGCAGUAACUGACGCUGAGGAGCGAAAGCGUGGGGAGCGAACAGG